GGCGGCGUGCUUAACACAUGCAAGUCGAACGGAAAGGUCUCUUCGGAGACACUCGAGUGGCGAACGGGUGAGUAACACGUGGGCAAUCUGCCCUGCACACCGGGAUAAGCCUGGGAAACUGGGUCUAAUACCGGAUAGGACCACUUGGCGCAUGCCUUGUGGUGGAAAGCUUUUGCGGUGUGGGAUGGGCCCGCGGCCUAUCAGCUUGUUGGUGGGGUGACGGCCUACCAAGGCGACGACGGGUAGCCGGCCUGAGAGGGUGUCCGGCCACACUGGGACUGAGAUACGGCCCAGACUNCUACGGGANGCAGCAGUGGGGAAUAUUGCACAAUGGGCGCAAGCCUGAUGCAGCGACGCCGCGUGGGGGAUGACGGCCUUCGGGUUGUAAACCUCUUUCACCAUCGACGAAGGUCCGGGUUCUCUCGGAUUGACGGUAGGUGGAGAAGAAGCACCGGCCAACUACGUGCCAGCAGCCGCGNUAAUACGUAGGGUGCGAGCGUUGUCCGGAAUUACUGGGCGUAAAGAGCUCGUAGGUGGUUUGUCGCGUUGUUCGUGAAAUCUCACGGCUUAACUGUGAGCGUGCGGGCGAUACGGGCAGACUAGAGUACUGCAGGGGAGACUGGAAUUCCUGGUGUAGCGGUGGAAUGCGCAGAUAUCAGGAGGAACACCGGUGGCGAAGGCGGGUCUCUGGGCAGUAACUGACGCUGAGGAGCGAAAGCGUGGGGAGCGAACAGGAUUAGAUACCCUGGUAGUCCACGNCGUAAACGGUGGGUACUAGGUGUGGGUUUCCUUCCUUGGGAUCCGUGCCGUAGCUAACGCAUUAAGUACCCCGCCUGGGGAGUACGGCCGCAAGGCUAAAACUCAAAGGAAUUGACGGGGGNCCGCACAAGCGGCGGAGCAUGUGGAUUAAUUCGAUGCAACGCGAAGAACCUUACCUGGGUUUGACAUGCACAGGACGCGUCUAGAGAUAGGCGUUCCCUUGUGGCCUGUGUGCAGGUGGUGCAUGGCUGUCGUCAGCUCGUGUCGUGAGAUGUUGGGUUAAGUCCCGCAACGAGCGCAACCCUUGUCUCAUGUUGCCAGCGGGUAAUGCCGGGGACUCGUGAGAGACUGCCGGGGUCAACUCGGAGGAAGGUGGGGAUGACGUCAAGUCAUCAUGCCCCUUAUGUCCAGGGCUUCACACAUGCUACAAUGGCCGGUACAAAGGGCUGCGAUGCCGCGAGGUUAAGCGAAUCCUUUUAAAGCCGGUCUCAGUUCGGAUCGGGGUCUGCAACUCGACCCCGUGAAGUCGGAGUCGCUAGUAAUCGCAGAUCAGCAACGCUGCGGUGAAUACGUUCCCGGGCCUUGUACACACCGCCCGUCACGUCAUGAAAGUCGGUAACACCCGAAGCCAGUGGCCUAACCCUCGGGAGGGAGCUGUCGAAGGUGGGAUCGGCGAUUGGGACGAAGUCGUAACAAGGUAG
rnacentral:rRNA from 1 species